ACUUGAUGGGUGUUCAGGUUAGCUCUUGGUGAGAAAGCACCUAGAAUUCCCUUUGAAGUAUGAACUAAUUUAGACUGUGAAACUGCGGAUGGCUCAUUAAAUCAAUUAUAGUUUUUUUUAUGGUACCAUACUACUCGGAUAACCAUUGUAAUUCUAUAUCUAAUACGUGCACCAAGUCCUGACUCUUUGGAAGGGAUGCAUUUUUUAGGUAAAAGGCCGAUACGGUCUUGCCUACUUCUCCGGUGAAUCAUGACAACUCGACGGAUUACACAACCCUUGUGUUGGUGAUGCUUCAUUCAAAUUUCUGCCCUAUCAACUUUCGAUGGUAGGAUAGAGGCCUACCAUGGUGGUGACGGGUGACAGAGAAUUGGGGUUCGAUUCCAGAGAGGGAGCCUGAGAAAAGAGUACCACGUCCAAGGAAGGCAGAAGGCGUGCAAAUUACCCAAUCCUGACAUGGGGAGGUAGUGACAAUAAAUAACAAUACCGGGCUCAUCGAGUUUGGUAAUUGGAAUGAGUACAAUCUAAGUCACUUAAUGAGGAUCCAUCAGAGGGUAAGUCUGGUGCAAGCAACCAUGGUAAUUCUAGCUCCAAUAGCGUAUAUUUAAGUUGUUGUAGUUAAAAAGGUCGUAUUUGGAUCUUGGGUCUUAAAGGUCGGUCCGCCUACUCGGUGUGCACCUGCCCUUCCAUCCCUUUGGUCAGCGGCGUGCUCCUGGCCUUAAUUGGCUGGGUCACAGCUCUGAUGUUGUUAGUUUGAAAAAAUUAGAGUGCUCAAAGCAAGCUUAUGCUUUGAGUACAUUAGCAUGGAAUAACAUGAUAGGAGUCUGGUCCUAUUGUGUUGGCCUUCGAGACUGGAGUAAUGAUUAAUAGGGAUUGUCAGGGGCAUUUGUAUUUCAUUGUCAGAGGUCAAAUUCUUAGAUUUAUGAAAAUUAGACCACUGCAAAAGAAUUUUCCAAGGAUGUUUCCAUUAAUCAAGAAUGAAAGUUGGGGGCUCAAAGACAAUCAGAUACCGUCCUAGUCUCAACCAUAAACGAUGUCGACCUGGGAUCAGCAGAUGUUUCUCUAAGGACUCCGCCAACACCUUCUAAGAAAUCAGAGUGUCUGGGUUUAGGGGGGAGUAUGGUCGCAAGGCUGAAACAUAAAGGAAUUGAUGGAAGGGCACCACCAAGAGUGGAGCCUGUGGGUUAAUUUGAAUCAAUACGGGGAAAAUUACCAGGUCCAGACAUAGUAAGGAUUGACAAAUUGAGAACGCUUUCUUGAUUCUAUGGGUGGUGGUGUAUGACCAUUCUUAGUUGGUGGAGCGAUUUGUCUGGUUAAUUUUGAUAACAAAUGAGACCUUAGCCUACUAACUAGCUACGCGGAGGUUCCCCUUUGUGGCUAGCUUCUUAGAGGGACUAUGGCCGUUUAGGCCAUGGAAUUUUGAGGCAAUAACAAGUUUGUGAUGCCCUUAGAUGUUCUCGGCCACACAUGCGCUACAUUGAUGCAGCCAAUGAGUUUUUCUUCCUAGUUUGAGAGGAUCAUGAAAUAUUCUCAAAUUGCAUCGUGAUGGGGAUAGACCAUUGCAAUUAUUGGUCUUCAACAAAGAAUUCCUAGUAUGCGCGUGUCAUCAAGUCGUGUUGACUACGUACCUACCCUUUGCACACACCGGCCAUCGCUCCUACCGAUUGAAUGAUCCGGUGAAGUGUUCGGAUUGCGUCGACGAUGGUGGUUCACUGCCAUCGACAUCAUGAGAUGUUCAUUGAACCUUAUCAUUUAGAGGAAGGAGAAGUCAUAACAAGGUUACCGUAGGUGAACCUGUAGUAG
rnacentral:rRNA from 1 species